rnacentral:lncRNA from 1 species
GAGCCUCUAGUUUGGGAUCCAGGAAUUCUUUUUUUCCAAUUUCGGGAUAUAAAUUUCUUUAGAUUCGGGACCUCAGGAUUUCAUGUUUUUGAGCCCAGGAUUUCGGGAUCAGGAUCCCUCUGACCCCGCCCCCAUAUGACACAAAAUAGUUAAAAAGGGGGUGUUUAAUAUUUUCCCUACAAUACUACAGGGGAAAAAAAAUCAUAAACUCUAUUUUAUAAAGAAUAUAAAGAACUUUCAGUGGUAUUUGUAAACACAGUGUAAUAUAUUAAACCAUAUGUGCUAGUCUUUGUAAGAUUAUUUAGACCCUCAUAAACUCCAAUUUUGUAAAGCAUGUAAAGAGAGAAAGAACUUUCAGUGGUUUUAGUAAACACAGUGUAAUAUAUUAAACCAGAUCAUAUGCUAGUCUUUGUAAGAUUAUUUAGAGCUGAUGAAGAAAACAGACAUCCUAUAUAAUAACGUAUUACAAAUGUACAGUGUAACAAGCCUCCUUUGGAGUUUUUGUAAUGUUAAAAAGUCAAACAGAAUUAGUAUUUAAUCACUUUUUUCCUUUUUCUUGAAGACUUCUUGUGGCUUUCCUGUCGAGCAAGUAAUGCAGAAUAUCAAUGAUCAAUAAAUAUUCAUUGAAUACAUUUGAUACAGUAAAUAAAGUACAGUAAACCAACUUAUUUUAGUGAGUGAUUUCUUUAUCGCUAGUAGAAAAAUAAUGUGAAUGUAAAUUGUUCGAACAUUUUAAACACUGAUCUUUCCCUAUUAAACUUCAUCAAGUAAAUUAGAAAAUAGCAAAAUUGAAUGGUCAUGAAAGUGAACUAGAAAGAGUUGAAUGCGAAAUAAUAUAUCCACGAAAAUAAGUUGGUUUACAGCCCCAUAAAACAUGAAAAUGUUACCUUAUGGAUGUACUUAGGUGAGGUUAGGUGAAAAUAAAUAAAUUAAGAAGUUAAAAUUGAUACUAUAAGCUGGUAGAGCAUCAAUUAAAGAUAAAAAUAAGCUAAAAAUUGAUAGGUCAUGGACCUCCUUUUCGAGAUAUUUGAGAUUUAAAAUAUGGUGGGAAAAGACUGACUCGGACUUUUACCUUAUAUUUGCAUUGGUAUUAUAAGGUCUCAAAACAAAAGAAAGAAAAUUAAGAAUCUUCUAAAAUUUUGGUAAAUGACCUUUCAUGAGCUAUUAAGUCUUGUAUGAAAAAAUAAAUGGGUGUUAUGGGGCAAAAUAUUUUACACUGUAUUGUAUGGAAAAACACCAAGGAGUCUGAACAUAUGACACAAAUUCCAAAACCUCACCUAAGUACAUCCUUAUAUGCGUGAUAUGUGCCAUUUUUUUGGUUCCUGUGCCAUCAUCAGAGAGUAUUCAUUCUUGAUUAUUGAUAGUCUUUUUGGACUGUUUCAUUCCCUGUUUUAAGUCUUAAAAGUCCUUGACAAAUAUCUUUCUAAAAUGCUUAAUACUACUUGUUUUAUUUCUAUUUGCUCUUUAGGUAAUAACUACUGUAAAUUCAGAAAUUAUUGCAUCCAUUUAAUAUUGCAAUGUUGUCGUCUUUAGACUAAAAUAAGAUUUUAAUAUUUUCGAUAUUGAGAAAAAUCCUAUUUCACUAUAUAAAUAAAUUCAGAAUGCAAGUUUAAAGUGUUGCGAUUAUAACCCUGUUGUAUUUUUCGCAAUUAUAAAAACGUCGCAGUAAUUUCUGAAUUUACAGCAAUAUUUUCUAAAAGUGUUGUGACUGGUUAAUAUAUUAGCCAAACAAUUGAAAUUUAAUCACUGAUGUGAGGUUAUUUUCAUUUUUCCUUUAGAUUAUGAAAAGGCGAAUUUUUUUGUUAAAAGAUCUGUAUUGCAGCUUUUUUUAAUGCCAUCUCUAUUCUAUAUAUUAACAUUGAGAUAAGCAUUUUUAUUCAAUAGCAUGUAUGAAGUAUCUCGCUAUAUAAUUUUUUAUGGUAUUACACACCACUACUAAGAAGAAUUAAAUAAAAAAAGGCAUUAUUAUUAAUUUGAGGUAUAAUUAUUCAAAUCCGAAAUGUGAUUGAAUAUUCAAGUUCACUAAUAUCUCAAUCAGUACUGUUUUGCAAGCAUAUUUGAUCUAUGAAAUCAGCUGUUUUCUGUUAUUACACUUUCAAAUUACUGGAAAUAUUUUAUUUCUUUAAUGACAAACAGAAACUAAAAUUCAGAAAUUUUUAGUGUGCAUUUAUUAUUCAGACAUAAACACCAGAUUAAAUAUUGCAAAUUUAGUACUACAUUCAAAAUUUGCUAUCAAAAAUUCAAAUGAGAGGUUUUAUUUUUCGAAAAACUUAUACUGUAGUCAAAUUUUAGCAAUAAAAAAAGAUGGAAGAAUAUUUCUGAAUUAACAGUUAAAACAUUCAAGUCUUAUUACUAUUAUUUCAUUGUACUUUUGAC